UACGUAGGGGGCGAGCGUUGUCCGGAUUCAUUGGGCGUAAAGAGCUCGUAGGCGGCUUGUCAAGUCGGGUGUGAAACCUCCAGGCUCAACCUGGAGACGCCACUCGAGACUGUCAUGGCUAGAGUCCGGUAGGGGAUCACGGAAUUCCUGGUGUAGCGGUGAAAUGCGCAGAUAUCAGGAGGAACACCGAUGGCGAAGGCGGGUCUCUGGGCCGUAACUGACGCUGAGGAGCGAAAGCAUGGGUAGCGAACAGG
rnacentral:rRNA from 1 species